GACUCUUGGCAAUGGAUAUCUCGGCUCUCGCAUCGAUGAAUAAUGUAGCAAAAUGCGAUACUUGGGGUGAAUUGUAGAAUCCCGUGAACCAUCGAGUCUUUGAACGCAAGUUGCACCCCAAGCUUUCUGGCCGAGGGCACGUCUGGCUGGGUGUCA
rfam:Brassica napus, WGS project CCCW01000000 data, contig: 42946